AUGGCAAGGGCGCGGGUCGUCAUGGACAAACUUGAACAAGAACUCGACGCCAUGCAUUCUGCUGAAAAUGGAGGUGUCGCGGACAAUGAAACCAUUGACCAGGAUAUUGCUACAAUGUUAUCCGAGAUGAACCAUCUGGGAUCUAUUGACCCGUUUGAGAACGAGGAAGAAGAGCAGCAGCAACCGGAGCUUGCUCAUGUGCACACUCAAGAGCGCCGACAAACUAACAUGCGAGAUCAUGAGCUUGAUGGUGCUGUAGGCGAACGACAUGACAAUAGCACAUCCUACCAGCAGCAGCAGGAAAGGGUGAUUAAACCCCCAAUAUUCUCAAACACAAAGGGGAGGAAGAGCAAGACGCAAGCAGCGAAAGCUGCGAAAGCAACAGCCAAAAAGCCACCACGCCCCAUCAAACGCGUGGAAUUUGGCCCGGACGGCAAACCCCUCGGGAUAAGGGCAUGCGGUUUCUGCAACGUCGUGAGCAACCAUAACUACCGCACAUGCCCACUCCGCACAGAUGCCACUGUCAACAAGAACAAACAGAUUGGAGCCACCCAACUUUCUACAAAUGGAGACAACACACGUGACAAGCAGAAGCUGGCAGAGUCUGGUUUGGAAAUCAACCCCAACAACUUCAUCGACAUGCAGCGCAAGUGGAAAAAUCCAAAGAACGACAAAUACUACGACUCCUUGGCCGAUGUUGCAGGCAGCGUCAUCCACCCAUUCUACGAACGCAUGAAGAAGAUGAAGAGGGAAGACCACAAACUGUGGGCGACCAGCCCGCUGCCAGACAACCUCAUCACGCAUGCAGGAAUAGAUGCAUACGCAACGUACAAGUCAUGGAAGACAAUGGACAACAUCAUGACAGGUUGGGAUAUUUCAAAAGAGUAG
rnacentral:rRNA from 1 species